rnacentral:rRNA from 1 species
UACGUAGGGGGCAAGCGUUAAUCGGAAUUACUGGGCGUAAAGCGUGCGCAGGCGGUUAUGUAAGACAGGUGUGAAAUCCCCGGGCUUAACCUGGGAACUGCAUUUGUGACUGCAUAGCUAGAGUACGGCAGAGGGGGAUGGAAUUCCGCGUGUAGCAGUGAAAUGCGUAGAUAUGUGGAGGAACACCGAUGGCGAAGGCAGCCCCCUGGGUUAACACUGACGCUCAUGCACGAAAGCGUGGGGAGCAAACAGG